CUGACACCCGGCAGCAGUGCCAUCGUACGCCCUCGGGAGCGAGAGCCGAAUCCCACUGGGUUCCGGUAGAUGGACGGGUUGGCUGGCUGGUGGUGAUGGUGCAAGGGAUAGGUCUGUGGGAACCCCGCUGGUCUCCCAACGAUGGAGGGUGUCGAGGACUCCUUCCAAGGCGUGCCCGAUCUGGUUGAUACGGUGCUCCUGGCCUAGAAGACGCUCCUCCAUGAAGUCCACGGGUGCUCCUGCUGAUUCCAUCGAAGUGGGGUGGACCUCAUCGGACCCUUCACGAAAUACAGGAAUGACAACAGCUGGUGUCUGACGGUGACCGAUCACUUACCAAGUGGGUGGAGGUAAUACCCAUUAAGGUCAGUAAAGGAAGAGUACGUGCUUAACUCUAAAUUCCCUUCUGUAACCCAUUAAAAAGGGUGCUUGGAACCGUUUUGUAUGAUACCCAUCAAGGACGAGACUGGUGAGGCCACCUCCAAGGCAAUGGUGGACAUCUUCAACACCCACGGUUCUUCUGAGGUCAUCUUGAGUGAGCGAGGUCAUGAACGCUGGAACAAGGAUUGGUGAAUUGACCAACCAGACCCUCAAGACUGCCAUGUCUCUUGAUUGGUACCAGGAAGGGUGGGAGAACAACCUGAAGGUAAUUCUCUUUGCACACAACAGCAGCAUCCAGGCCUCCACCGAGUACGGACGGGAGCCGCAGCUGUUGACUGAGGUAAACAAUGCAAUUGUAUAUACAAUUAUUGCAUAUACUGUAGUCUUUCAAAUGUGUGAUUGACUUAGUGUUGUUGUUUGUCUAUCGCUAUUUUUGUAUAACGUACUUUCAGAUCACUGAAACCCCACCUGAUGUGGUGGAAGUUGUCGACUGAGAAGAAUGUGGAGGUUUUUGACCAGGUGAGACUGAACAUGGACAAGGCGCAGGACUAACAGAAGGAGAGCUACCGGAGCAGAAUCAGGAAGGGGACCAAGUGCUGCGACAUCCGGGUGAAUUACUUGGUUUGGAAGAAGGAUGAAAGGAAGGCGAGACCUUGGAAACCUCGCUGCUCUUUCGCUCCUAGCUGGGGUCACCAUCUGUUAAAGUGAAUAUAAAAAAUGGUUACCUCCGUGGAAGCCAACAAUCUUCUACAGUUGGAGCAGUUGGACGGUCGACCACUGAAAGCACUGACGCCCUACACUUCAGUGAAGCCCAAUAGACAAUGACCAUCGACUGUCCGAGCCCCCCAGGAGGUAUCCCAUCCACCAGAACCAGUUAGUUCGGAUCAGUCUGAUUCUUUGUGCUCUGAGUCGGAGGGGGUGAGGAGCUAGGGGUUCUGCCCAACACCCAGACGUGGAUCCACCUGAUGUCCUCCAUUACCAACCACCCUCCAACUUUUCAUUACAUCAUCUACAGCUACUGUUGUUGUCAUUAUCUGCUGAGAAAGUUUUCUUGCUCUAUCAUACUGGGCACAUAAUAUGUGAGAUACACAGAUCAACUAAAAACACUAGCACUGCAAACACUCAGAACGAAGAGAGCAGCAGUGCCUGGACUUUGCAGUCUCCCUCUUCAAGUCCCCCUUCUGAGACUGCCUGUUGAGAACAAGUGACAAGCAGAACCUCCCACCCACACAGCAACCACCUCCUCUAUAUUCCACACCAGAAUUCAGUAUUUGAGUGUACAAAAAAAUCUGUGAAAAUAAAUCAAUGACACAACUGUACCAAAAACUAUCAAAGUUUAUGUAUUAAAAUCUUAAAUAUUGCCAGGUUGGCAUUCA